rnacentral:rRNA from 1 species
UACGUAGGCGGCAAGCGUUGUCCGGAUUUACUGGGCGUAAAGAGCGCGCAGGCGGUCGUUCAAGUCGCGUGUGAAAGCCCCCGGCUCAACUGGGGAGGGUCACGCGAUACUGAUCGACUCGAAGGCAGGAGAGGGAAGUGGAAUUCCCGGUGUAGUGGUGAAAUGCGUAGAUAUCGGGAGGAACACCAGUGGCGAAGGCGACUUCCUGGCCUGUUCUUGACGCUGAGGCGCGAAAGCGUGGGGAGCGAACAGGA